AUUGAACGCUGGCGGCAGGCCUAACACAUGCAAGUCGAGCGGAUGAAGGGAGCUUGCUCCUGGAUUCAGCGGCGGACGGGUGAGUAAUGCCUAGGAAUCUGCCUGGUAGUGGGGGAUAACGUCCGGAAACGGGCGCUAAUACCGCAUACGUCCUGAGGGAGAAAGUGGGGGAUCUUCGGACCUCACGCUAUCAGAUGAGCCUAGGUCGGAUUAGCUAGUUGGUGGGGUAAAGGCCUACCAAGGCGACGAUCCGUAACUGGUCUGAGAGGAUGAUCAGUCACACUGGAACUGUGACACGGUCCAGACUCCUACGGGAUGCAGCAGUUGGGAAUAUUGGACAAUGGGCGAAAGCCUGAUCCAGCCAUGCCGCGUGGGUGAAGAAGGUUUUCGUAUUGUAAAGCUCUUUAAGUUGGGAGGAAGGGCAGUAAGUUAAUACCUUGCUGUUUUGACGUUACCAACAGAAUAAGCACCGGCUAACUUCGUG
rnacentral:rRNA from 1 species